CGCGUAGGCGGUUCGGUCAGUCAGAUGUGAAAGCCCUGGGCUCAACCUGGGAACUGCAUUUGAUACUGCUGAACUAGAGUGUGGUAGAGGGAAGUGGAAUUCCGGGUGUAGCGGUGAAAUGCGUAGAGAUCCGGAGGAACAUCAGUGGCGAAGGCGGCUUCCUGGACCAACACUGACGCUGAGGUGCGAAAGCGUGGGUAGCAAACA
rnacentral:rRNA from 1 species